UGUGUGUGUGUGUGUGUGUGUGUGUGUGUGUGUGUGUGUGUGUGUGUGUGUGUGUGUGUGUGUGUGUGUGUGUGUGCAUUUGAUCGGUGCACACCUGUCUAUAGAACUCCAACAUAACAAGUUUCAGCAUGAGGUCCAGAGUGGAAUCUUAGACUCUCAGAGUGAAGCUGUCACAGAUCUCUAAACUGAUGCCAACAAUAACACUUACACACGCAAAUAUACCCUGGAAUGACUACUAUGUGUAAAUGUACUGAAUUGACCCUGUGAAGGUGAUUCGAACUGUUGCAGGUUCACGCUCUUAUGACAUUGAAUAAUACAGGGAUCUGCUUUUACACUGGAUUGGCCAAGUGCUAAAAAAAAAUCCUAGACUAUGAUUGGCUCCUUUUCAGAUGCAAGACAUUUUCAAGUUAAAUUUUUGGACUGUGUUGUAAGCAUUUCAUUGUCACUCAUUUUUACUUUAUAUAAGUCUUCUUCCUCAAAAAAAGUAUGACAGACUGAAAUGUCACUUAUCUAAUGUGAUUAUAUCUAAAGAUUAAAACAUAUAUACACAGGAAUGGAGCACCGUUGUGUUUCUUUAACGUCAGUGGUCAAACGUGUACUCUUUGCCAAAUUGGUGCCCCGGUGUUAAGGUUAGGGUUAGGGAUGGCAUCACCUUUGUUUUUCAGUCCCUUUAGUUUCAUUCUUAGGAGAUUGGUAAAACAACAGACACACCUGGUCAAGGUCCCUCGAGAUAACUUUUGAAGUCUGUUGACAUUUUCUUCUCACUCAACCAGUCUUGUAACACUGCCAAAAUUCAUACCAUGCUGUGGUUUGUGGUUACAUUGUGUGUUUUUCUUCAAUUUGCUAGAAGUCUCUUUCAUUCAGUUCCUUGUGCGUCGUAACAUCCCUUAGCGCUCACUAGUUUCUGUGCUGUUUUCCAUCUCUCCUCUUAGUUCAUCUGCUGGUGAUUGGAAUCUAAAGUUGUUUGCCCUCCAGGUAAAUUAAGAGACUAAUAAUGAUCUUGCGCGCUGGGACUUCAUAACUGAUAAAACUGAAUCAAUUCUGUAAGAGCAGUCAGUGAGGUGCAUGUAAACAGCUAAUGUGGUAAGAGGACUUUUGCCAUCUUGAGAAAUAAUCAGAGGGGAUGACUUGGAGUUCAAAUGCCUUGUCUUGUAUUAACAGGAAUUCAUAGCAGAUAACGCACAGUGAAGGAAGUGGGUCACUUUUUUCAC